rnacentral:rRNA from 1 species
GUCCACGCCCUAAACGAUGGAUACUAGGUGUGGGAGGUAUUGACCCCUUCCGUGCCGAAGCUAACGCGUUAAGUAUCCCGCCUGGGGACUACGGCCGCAAGGUUAAAACUCAAAGGAAUUGACGGGGGCCCGCACAAGCAGCGGAGCGUGUGGUUCAAUUCGAUGCGACACGAAGAACCUUACCUAGGCUUGACAUGUACGUGGUAGUGAAGCGAAAGCCGAACGACCCGCAAGGGAGCGUACACAGGUGUUGCAUGGCUGUCGU